CUGCGGGACUCCUCGCACGAUAACAUUACAAUAAGCUGUAGUUUCUACUUAAUUGACACUUAAAGUACCAGAACCACUACAGCAGACCCUCAACAAUGCAAACACUGCCCUUUUCAAGGAUAGGCAAUGUUUGCAUUGCUUGCCACUAGAGGUCCUUCCUGGUGUGGUACUGCAACCUUUGCUGGACUGAUAUUUGCGGUCUUCAUGCUCUGUAUAAAGAAGAGUAAUGCUCCACGCUGCAAAGCAUUGGAUUGG